rnacentral:rRNA from 1 species
UGGGGAAUCUUGGGCAAUGGGGGAAACCCUGACCCAGCAAUGCCGCGUGGGGGAUGAAGGCCUUCGGGUCGUAAACCCCUGUUAGGUGGGACGAACGUCCCCUCGCGAAUAGCUAAGGGGACUUGACGGUACCACCAGAGAAAGCUCCGGCUAACUCCGUGCCAGCAGCCGCGGUAAUACGGAGGGGGCAAGCGUUGUUCGGAAUUACUGGGCGUAAAGGGCGCGCAGGCGGCUUGGCAAGUCGAGUGUGAAAUCCCUUGGCUUAACUGAGGAAUGGCGCUCGAAACUACCUCGCUGGAGGACGGGAGAGGGAAGUGGAACUCUCGGUGUAGGGGUGAAAUCUGUAGAUAUCGAGAGGAACACCGGUGGCGAAGGCGGCUUCCUGGCCCGUACCUGACGCUGAGGCGCGAAAGCGUGGGGAGCAAACAGGAUUAGAUACCCUGGUAGUCCACGCCCUAAACGAUGGGCACUAGGUGUGGGCGGUAUUAAUCCCGCCUGUGCCGUAGCUAACGCAUUAAGUGCCCCGCCUGGGGA